UUCUCUUCCUCUCACUCUCCUCCGCCGCUUCUUCCUCCCAAUACAACACCCUCGUCGUCAACACUCUCCCUUCUUCUCCAAUCCUCUCAUCUCCCGAGUCCGAAUCAUUGACCACUGUAUCCCAAUCCACAACUUCACUCUCACUCCACCUAUCACACGUCGAUGCUAUCUCCUCCUUUUCCGACGCAUCUCCGGCGGAGCUCUUCAACCUCCGUCUCAAAAGAGACUCUCUCCGCGUCGAGUCCUUGACCACCCUCGCCGCCGUCUCUUCCCGCCGGAACGUUACCAGAAGAGCUCCACGCUCCGCCGGUGGGUUCAGCGGCGCUGUUAUCUCCGGUCUCUCGCAGGGAAGCGGAGAGUAUUUCAUGAGGCUAGGCGUCGGGACUCCGGCGACUAACAUGUACAUGGUCCUCGACACGGGAAGCGACGUCGUUUGGCUGCAAUGCGCUCCUUGCAAAGUGUGUUACAACCAAUCCGACGCGAUCUUCGACCCGUCUAAAUCCAAAACGUUCGCCACCGUCCCGUGCGGUUCUCGUCUCUGUCGGAGAUUGGACGACUCGUCGGAAUGUUUCAGACAGCGAAGCAAGCGUUGUCUCUACCAAGUCUCGUACGGUGACGGGUCGUUCACGGUUGGAGACUUGUCGACCGAAACGCUGACGUUUAAGGGAGCACGUGUCGAUCACGUGGCGGUGGGAUGCGGUCACGACAACGAAGGCUUGUUCGUAGGCAAACUGCAAAUCCCCAUCCACUACGAAACAAGUAGAUGUACUUGCUUCAAUAAUAGCCGUCUGAUUUAUUUUAUAAACUUUUAAUCCAACGGUUCUAAUCUAAUCGCACUGUUCAAUAAACCAACUAAACUAAUACUUUCAAAGCAAGUUAAUUUUUGGCUAUUUUACGUGUAGUCAGCAUCGACUUAGCAUUUCUCUUGUCCACUUGACCAACGUGAAGGGCAAUAAAGGAAGAGAAAAAUCAAAAGUAAGGGACAAAGUACACCUCAUGGAGAAAGUGUGUCAACAUGAUAAAGACCCAUGAGAAAGUACCCAAUAUUGUAAACUUCUCUUCUUUUGCCUUUGGGUGGAGCCUAAUCAAGAGCAUUUUAGGGGUAAAAGUUUCACGAACCCGUAGCGUAGGUCUUGUUAGACAAUAAACAAUGUAAAAUAUAUAGCAUAUAUUAUUCGGCACUCAUGUUGUAUCUAUAUUAAUAUGUCUUCCAAGUAUAUGUAUUGGUAUUAGUAUCUAUUUUUUGUUUGUUUAAAUCAUCCAUUUUAAGUUAUACCAAAAAUGACUCUUCCCUUCUCUCAAAGGGUAAGGAGUCUAAGAACUCUAACCCCGUUAACGAUCAAGAUUAACUCCGAUAUAUAGUAUAAAUUACUCUCUAGUCAAUAACAUCAUGCAGCAAGAUUAUCAUAUUUUGCAAGUAACACAUAAAAUACAGACAACUAAAGACCGUGUCAUUGUAUUUCAAAUUAUCAAACGGAGUUAAUUAGCACGUACAUAAGUGUGUGUGUGUGUGUAGACUCUAUGGAAGAGUAUGUGGAUCUGUUUGAAUCUGGCUCUCACAUGUAAAUGGACAAGUUCCAUUUUAUGUGGAGGAUACGAUCACUACAUAAUGUAGGACGGUACACAUCUAUGAUUUUUUGUAGUCUAUAUUGUUUGUGGAUCUAACAAGACUAUGACCGAGAUCUGUAAUAUAUAUGGAUUGGUACCAGUAUAAACGUCGUUUCACAUGAGCAAACAAAGAAAAUGAUAUGAUAAGAUUAAUAGUUGAAUCAUACAAACUUUCCAAAUAUGAAAAAGUGGGACUUUCGCAUUACACAUCAAAAAGAAUUCAAAUGCUGUAAUCAUAUCAUUCGCACACUCUUUGGCUCUUUCUCUUCGUUCUCACAACCUGAGGUGGAGUCACGCAGAUUGUCAAUUAUUCAGGGGUAUAUUAGUAACUGUUUAUAAGAAAUACCGUCCGUACAUAUAGAAAAGAUGAACGGGGUCGCUUUCGACCUAAUUCACACUCCCACUUAACCGUUAGGUCAAGCUCCCAUCUGGGAGAAUCUUUUUGAGAUCCAUUAUCAAGAAUUUUAAAAGAGUCUGUACUUUUAUUUCAGCUAAUCAGUGUUAAAUGUACAUCAUUACUUGGAAGGUGAUUGAUCAAUUUAUUUUAUAAUUGCAAAUGGGAAGUAAAGAACAGCCAAAAGACAAACCCAUAUACUGAUUUGAUUUAUAACAUUAGUUUAUUAUACUGUAAAAGAGAUUGUGUAAUUUUGGGUGAUGAAUGAAAUGAUAAAAUGUAAUGUCAGAUUGAUGUAAAAAAGGGUAAACUAAUAAUAUAAGAGAAGAGGGGACCAUGAAAAAUAGAUGUAUCACAUGAUCUUUCUCUGGUUCUCUGAAUAUGGGCCUCAAUAUCUCUUCCUCCCCAUUAUUUGUGCCUGCAAAAUCUUCUGAUUCUGGAUAAAUCUUAACUCUUUUGUCAAAAUGUUUCUGGAAUUAAUACAGCAGCUAACAAUCAAAGAAUGAAUGUUUGGAUGAUCUAAAAUAUAUUUCUUCUUAGCAUAUAACUAAAUUGCUAGUUUGUAAUAUGGAAUUCUAAGUAACAAUCUGGUUAAUUAAUUUUCUGAACACAUGUAUUAAUGUGAAAAAGGGUAACAAUUAUUGAGAGAGGUAGGGACCAAGGGAGGAUGAGUUUUAUAGGCUAAGGACUCAAUAAAUGGAAAUUAAAGAGAUGACUAAAUUAUGGGUGAUUAAUUCAUAGAGUAGAGUAGAUCAGUAGACAAUGGGCUUCCCCCAUUUCUGAAGGGCUUUUAAAUUUUUUUUGCAACAUUAUAGAUUUAAUUUGAAAUUGAAAACCAAAAUGUAGCACCUACUCUUCCUUCCACGUUGUUAUCAAAGAAGUCUCAAAUAUGUUCUUCAAAAUCUAAUAACCAUAAAAUCUGAAAUAUGGAACUAUUUCUACUGUCCGCUUGUCUCCAAAUUCUUACUAACAAUGGGCUACAAGAGGCUUUCGAGACGAGCUAACAUCUUUCAUCUUUUCAUUUUAAAUUUAUUGAAAUGCUUUGAUUCAGGGAUUUUCUUAAAUACCUCUAUACAUUUUGGUUGGGCUAUGAAACCCAUCUAUGGCAAUAAACAUGGGCUUAGUUCUCAAAGAAAAAAGUACCAAAAAUAGUAAGAAAAAUGAAAAAUUAUUUUGGGCCAUGAAACCCAUCUAGGGUGAUAAACAUGGGCUCAAUAAACAGAUAAGGUUCCACUAACACUUGAAUUCAGAUUACUGGACUGAAAGUUCAAUUUCAAGACUCACACAACUAAAUUAAUUUUAUCUCAAAUUGAUUUUUUUUUUUAUUAAUGGAGUUCGUUAGGUGGAAAUGUGAAUAAAAACUAAAAAGUCAAUAAUUUCGUAAUGAUGAUUUUACUUUGUAUAUAAAAAUAAAAAGAAAAAAACAAAGUCGAUCCAUAAUAAUUAAAGUAAAGUAAGCUUUCACACACGAGAGCUUCCUUUGCCUUUAUAUGCUUUGUAGUAGUAGCCAACCUAAACUCUAUACAGAUCCCUUGUGACAAUAGUUAUAAUUUUAAAACCACUAUGGGAACAAAAGUCCAAAACACCCUCAUCUUCUCCGUGGCUGUUCUCUUCCUCUCACUCUCCUCCGCCGCUUCUUCCUCCCAAUACAACACCCUCGUCGUCAACACUCUCCCUUCUUCUCCAAUCCUCUCAUCUCCCGAGUCCGAAUCAUUGACCACUGUAUCCCAAUCCACAACUUCACUCUCACUCCACCUAUCACACGUCGAUGCUAUCUCCUCCUUUUCCGACGCAUCUCCGGCGGAGCUCUUCAACCUCCGUCUCAAAAGAGACUCUCUCCGCGUCGAGUCCUUGACCACCCUCGCCGCCGUCUCUUCCCGCCGGAACGUUACCAGAAGAGCUCCACGCUCCGCCGGUGGGUUCAGCGGCGCUGUUAUCUCCGGUCUCUCG
rnacentral:lncRNA from 1 species